AUGUUUGUUUAUUCUAGGCAUUCCGUGUUGUUCUUCAUAGAUUUCGUAGAUGUGUUCCGUUUCCUGGUAGUAAUCUUGAUGGAUAAGGAGCAGAGCAGCAGGAGAAAGAAGGAUUAGAAGCAGUUGCAAUAACUUUCCAAAAUUUUUAAUUUGCUCAUCUACUAUUGGUGACAAAAUUGAUACAUUGGUAUUUGAUGUUCUUGAUAGAUGUAAUUUUGUUAAUUGAAAAGUUCUGUUUUUUGGGAUUUAAGAUAAAAAGUAAAAUUUGUCUCUACCAAUUUGUAUUUUAUCAGAAUAGAAUUAACCAAUAAACUUUUGACUUUGGA